rnacentral:rRNA from 1 species
AAAGGCGCGCGAUACAGGGUGACAGCCCCGUACACAAAAGCGCAUGUGCUGUGAGCUCGAUGAGUAGGGCGGGACACGUGGUAUCCUGUCUGAAUAUGGGGGGACCAUCCUCCAAGGCUAAAUACUCCUGACUGACCGAUAGUGAACCAGUACCGUGAGGGAAAGGCGAAAAGAACCCCGGCGAGGGGAGUGAAAAAGAACCUGAAACCGUGUACGUACAAGCAGUGGGAGCACCCUUUGGGGUGUGACUGCGUACCUUUUGUAUAAUGGGUCAGCGACUUAUAUUCUGUAGCAAGGUUAACCGUAUAGGGGAGCCGGAGGGAAACCGAGUCUUAACCGGGCGUUAAGUUGCAGGGUAUAGACCCGAAACCCGGUGAUCUAGCCAUGGGCAGGUUGAAGGUUGGGUAACACUAACUGGAGGACCGAACCGACUAAUGUUGAAAAAUUAGCGGAUGACCUGUGGCUGGGGGUGAAAGGCCAAUCAAACCGGGAGAUAGCUGGUUCUCCCCGAAAGCUAUUUAGGUAGCGCCUCGUGAA